rnacentral:rRNA from 1 species
UACGGAGGGGGCUAGCGUUGUUCGGAAUUACUGGGCGUAAAGCGCACGUAGGCGGUUUUGCAAGUCAGAGGUGAAAGCCCGGAGCUCAACUCCGGAAUUGCCUUUGAGACUGCAUCACUUGAACGUCGGAGAGGUGAGUGGAAUUCCGAGUGUAGAGGUGAAAUUCGUAGAUAUUCGGAAGAACACCAGUGGCGAAGGCGGCUCACUGGACGACUGUUGACGCUGAGGUGCGAAAGCGUGGGGAGCAAACAGGAUUAGAUACCCUAGUAGU